AUACGGAGGGUCCAAGCGUUAUCCGGAAUCAUUGGGUUUAAAGGGUCCGCAGGCGGUCAAUUAAGUCAGAGGUGAAAGCCCAUCGCUCAACGAUGGAACUGCCUUUGAUACUGGUUGACUUGAGUUAUACGGAAGUAGAUAGAAUAAGUAGUGUAGCGGUGAAAUGCAUAGAUAUUACUUAGAAUACCGAUUGCGAAGGCAGUCUACUACGUAUAUACUGACGCUGAGGGACGAAAGCGUGGGGAGCGAACAGGAUUAGAAACCCUAGUAGUCA
rnacentral:rRNA from 1 species